rnacentral:lncRNA from 1 species
CACUCAUGAAGAAAGAACACAGGAGUAGCUGAGAGGCUAAAACUCAUCAAAAACACUACUCCUUUUCCUCUACCCUAUUCCUCAAUCUUUUACCUUUUCCAAAUCCCAAUCCCCAAAUCAGUUUUUCUCUUUCUUACUCCCUCUCUCCCUUUUACCCUCCAUGGUCGUUAAAGGAGAGAUGGGGAGCAUCAUUCUGUUAUACUUCUGUACACAGUUAUACAUGUCUAUCAAACCCAGACUUGCUUCCGUAGUGGAGACUUGCUUUUCAGAACAUAGGGAUGAAGUAAGGUGCCUGAAAAGUUUGGGGGAAAAGUUUCUUUCAGAGAGUUAAGUUAUUUUAUAUAUAUAAUAUAUAUAUAAAAUAUAUAAUAUACAAUAUAAAUAUGCAUACACACAUAUAAUGGAAGCAAUAAGCCAUUCUAAGAGCUUGUAUGGUUAUGGAGGUCUGACUAGGCAUGAUUUCACGAAGGCAAGAUUGGCAUAUCAUUGUAACUAAAAAAGCUGACAUUGACCCAGACAUAUUGUACUCUUUCUAAAAAUAAUAAUAAUAAUGCUAACAGAAAGAAGAGAACCGUUCGUUUGCAAUCUACAGCUAGUAGAGACUUUGAGGAAGAAUUCAACAGUGUGUCUUCAGCAGUGUUCAGAGCCAAGCAAGAAGUUGAAGUUGCCUAGACCAGAGGACAUAAGUAUCAUGUCUCCUUUAACUAGCAUACCCCGAAGUGGAGAAGGGUGCAGCAGGCUCAAAGGCAUAAGUCAUUCCAAUCAGCCAACUAAGUUGUCCUUUUCUGGUUUCGUGUUCACCAUGGAACAUUUUGAUUAUAGUUAAUCCUUCUAUCUUGAAUCUUCUAGAGAGUUGCUGACCAACUGACGUAUGUUUCCCUUUGUGAAUUAAUAAACUGGUGUUCUGGU